rnacentral:rRNA from 1 species
CAGUCGCCGCGGGAAUACGAAGGGUGCAAGCGUUAAUCGGAAUUACUGGGCGUAAAGCGUGCGUAGGCGGUUUGUUAAGUCUGUUGUGAAAUCCCCGGGCUCAACCUGGGAAUGGCAAUGGAUACUGGCAAGCUAGAGUGUGUCAGAGGAUGGUGGAAUUCCCGGUGUAGCGGUGAAAUGCGUAGAGAUCGGGAGGAACAUCAGUGGCGAAGGCGGUCAUCUGGGACAACACUGACGCUGAGGCACGAAAGCGUGGGGAGCAAACAGGAUUAGAUACCCCAGUAGUCCCUGUCUCUUAUAA